rnacentral:rRNA from 1 species
AUUGAACGCUGGCGGCAUGCUUUACACAUGCAAGUCGAACGGUAACAGGUUAAGCUGACGAGUGACGAACGGGUGAGUAAUGCAUCGGAACGUGCCCGAUCGUGGGGGAUAACGCAGCGAAAGCUGCGCUAAUACCGCAUACGAUCUGAGGAUGAAAGCGGGGGACAGUAAGGCCUCGCGCGAUCGGAGCGGCCGAGGUCAGAUUAGGUAGGUGGUGGGGUACAGGCUAACCAAGCCAACGAUCUGUAGCUGGUCUGAGAGGACGACCAGCCACACUGGGACUGAGACACGGCCCAGACUGCUACGGGAGGCAGCAGUGGGGAAUUUUGCACAAUGGGCGCAAGCCUGAUGCAGCCAUGCCGCGUGUAUGAAGAAGGCCUUCGGGUUGUAAAGUACUUUCAGCGGGGAGGAAGGCGGUGAAGUUAAUAGCUUCACCGAUUGACGUUACCCGCAGGAGAAGCACCGGCUAACUCUGUGCCAGCCGCCGCAGUAA